AUUAAUUACGAGCCAGAGUAGACGCUGCUACUGAUACACUUGGAUGGAUGGACGACAAACCUGUCACAGUAGGCCGCAAGCUUAGCUGUGAAGAAAAAAGCCAGAGUUAAGAGAAGAAGAUACUUACUUCCGGCAGUAGGAACGAUUGGAGGAUGUUCUAAACCCGGAACUACUGUCAAAGGAAGGAAAGCAUGUUCUAUCAGCAGCCAUUAAUAGAAAAGCGUCAGUUUGAAAGAGCUCAAGAAAAAGAGUUUUCACAAGCAACCCUACUGACCUUUCACCUGUGUGUGGUCUCGGAACACGUUUGUUGUUCUAACUAUUGGCCCACCCACGUGGAAGACAGCUACAACUGGGAUCACCAAGAAAUGCCAACAACGACUCAUCAUGCUGCAGCAUAAGCCUCGUCGGAUAACGACCCCUCUGUGAUUCCCCAACAAUCAAUUUUUAAUUACGACUCUAAUUACAUCAGCAACUGUAUCGUUUCCAACCCUAUAUGGACUUCGUUUUAUUCCAAGUAGUCUAGCUCACA